rnacentral:rRNA from 1 species
CCUACGGGAGGCAGCAGUGGGGAAUUUUCCGCAACGGGCGAAAGCCUGACGGAGCAACGCCGCGUGGGUGAUGAAGUCUUUCGGGACGUAAAACCCUUUCAGCAGGGACGAACAAAAUGACGGUACCUGCAGAAGAAGCAUCGGCUAACUACGUGCCAGCAGCCGCGGUAAUACGUAGGAUGCGAGCGUUGUCCGGAUUUAUUGGGCGUAAAGCGAACGUAGGCGGUUUCUUAAGUUUGGUCUUAAAGACCGGGGCUCAACCCCCGGGGAGUGGACUGAAUACUGGGAGACUAGAGGAUGUUAGAGGAAAGUGGAAUUCCAAGUGUAGCGGUGAAAUGCGUAGAUAUUUGGAGGAACACCAGUGGCGAAAGCGGCUUUCUGGGACAUUUCUGACGCUGAGGUUCGAAAGCUCGGGGAGCAAACAGGAUUAGAUACCCUGGUAGUCCGAGCCGUAAACGAUGGACACUAGGUNUCGGGGUAUGACCCCCCGGUGCCGUGCUAACGCGUAAGUGUCCGCCUGGGGNGGUACGGUCGCGAGACNGAACUACAACGUAGUAGUAGACGUCGUGAGAGCGACGACGACGACGACGGAGGUAAGGUAG